rnacentral:rRNA from 1 species
AACGAACGCUGGCGGCAUGCCUAACACAUGCGAGUCGAACGAGACCUUCGGGUCUAGUGGCGCACGGGUGCGUAACGCGUGGGAACCUGCCCUUAGGUUCGGAAUAACUCCCCGAAAGGGGUGCUAAUACCGGAUAUUGUCUUCGGACCAAAGAUUUAUCGCCUUUGGAUGGGCCCGCGUUGGAUUAGCUAGUUGGUAGGGUAAAAGCCUACCAAGGCGACGAUCCAUAGCUGGUCUGAGAGGAUGAUCAGCCACACUGGGACUGAGACACGGCCCAGACUCCUACGGGGGGCAGCAGUGGGGAAUAUUGGACAAUGGGCGAAAGCCUGAUCCAGCAAUGCCGCGUGAGUGAUGAAGGCCUUAGGGUUGUAAAGCUCUUUUACCCGGGAUGAUAAUGACAGUACCGGGAGAAUAAGCUCCGGCUAACUCCGUG